UACGGGGGGGGCAAGCGUUGUUCGGAAUUACUGGGCGUAAAGGGCUCGUAGGCGGCCAACUAAGUCAGACGUGAAAUCCCUCGGCUUAACCGGGGAACUGCCUCUGAUACUGGAUGGCUUGAGGUUGGGAGAGGGAUGCGGAAUUCCAGGUGUAGCGGUGAAAUGCGUAGAUAUCUGGAGGAACACAGGUGGCGAAGGCGGCAUCCUGGACCAACACUGACGCUGAGUGAGCGAAAGCCAGGGGAGCAAACGGG
rnacentral:rRNA from 1 species